ACGCUCGACACCUACGGGAGGCAUCAGUUGGGAAUAUUGGACAAUGGAGGAAACUCUGAUCCAGUGACGCCGCGUGAAGGAAGAAGGUCUUCGGAUUGUAAACUUAUUUUGUCAGGGAAGAAAAAAUGACUGUACCUGAAGAAAAAAGCACCGGCUAACUACGUGCCCGCAGCCGCGGUAAUCUGAGCGGGCUGGCAAGGC
rnacentral:rRNA from 1 species